UACGAAGGGGGCUAGCGUUGCUCGGAAUUACUGGGCGUAAAGCGCACGUAGGCGGCUUUCUAAGUCGGGGGUGAAAGCCUGUGGCUCAACCACAGAAUUGCCUUCGAUACUGUCGAGCUUGAGACCGGAAGAGGUAAGUGGAACUGCGAGUGUAGAGGUGAAAUUCGUAGAUAUUCGCAAGAACACCAGUGGCGAAGGCGGCUUACUGGUCCGGUUCUGACGCUGAGGCGCGAAAGCGUGGGGAGCAAACAGG
rnacentral:rRNA from 1 species